rnacentral:rRNA from 1 species
CGUCUAUAUACGUAUAGCAUAUCAAUAAGCGGAGGAAAAGAAACUAACAAGGAUUCCCUUAGUAACGGCGAGUGAAGCGGGAAGAGCUCAAAUUUGAAAUCUUAAAGGGUUUCCCUUUACGAAUUGUAGUUUAAAGAAGUGUUUUCUGUUGGAGUUUCGGUAAAAGUUCUUUGGAAUAGGACAUCAUAGAGGGUGAGAAUCCCGUAUUUGACCGUUACUUUCCAGCUUUGUGAUACACUUUCAAAGAGUCGGAUUGUUUGGGAAUGCAGUCCAAAAUGGGUGGUAAAUUUCAUCUAAAGCUAAAUAUUGGCGAGAGACCGAUAGCAAACAAGUACCGUGAGGGAAAGAUGAAAAGAACUUUGAAAAGAGAGUUAAACAGUACGUGAAAUUGUCAAAAGGGAAGCGUUUGACACCAGUGUUGUUUAGUUGAAAAUCAAUUCAAUAGUUUUUGAUUCUGAGUAGUAUUGACUUCAUCAGCUUGCUGCUUUUCUUCUCAGAAUUAUUGAAUGCACUUUUCAGUUAACAAGUCAACAUCAAUUUCUUUUGUUGUAAAAGGGUAAGAGGAAGGUGGCUUGCGCUUCGGCUCAAGUGUUUAUAGCCUUUUAUCUCUGCAAUCGGAGAGAUUGAGGUCUGCAGCGUAGAUCCUUCGGGGUUAGAUACAUUGGUGCUAAGCUAUAGCCUUGUAUAGACAACUUGUUGACUAUGCUCAGUCAUGUAGCUUACUCGCUGAUGCUAUUUUACCUACGCUUAGGAUGUUGAUAUGCAUGACUGAUAU